rnacentral:rRNA from 1 species
UACGUAGGGGGCUAGCGUUGUCCGGAAUCAUUGGGCGUAAAGCGCGCGUAGGCGGUCAGGAAAGUCCGGUGUGAAAGUCAUAGGCUCAACCUAUGGAUGCCGCUGGAAACUGACCUGACUUGAGUCCGGAAGGGGCGAGUGGAAUUCCUGGUGUAGCGGUGAAAUGCGCAGAUAUCAGGAGGAACACCGGUGGCGAAGGCGGGUCUCUGGGCCGAUACUGACGCUGAGGAGCGAAAGCGUGGGGAGCGAACAGG